rnacentral:rRNA from 1 species
CCUACGGGGGGCAGCAGUGAGGAAUAUUGGUCAAUGGGCGGGAGCCUCAACCAGCCAAGCCGCGUGAGGGAAGAAGGUACAGCGUAUCGUAAACCUCUUUUGUCAGGGAACAAAGGCGGGGACUAGUCCCCGGAUGAGGGUACCUGAAGAAAAAGCAUCGGCUAACCCCGUGCCAGCAGCCGCGGUAAUACGGAGGAUGCGAGCGUUAUCCGGAUUUAUGGGGUUUAAAGGGUGCGCAGGCGGCCUGUUAAGUCAGCGGUAAAAGCCCGGGGCUAAACCCCGGCGAGCCGUUGAAACUGGCGGGCUGGAGUUGGAGAGAAGUACGCGGAAUGCGCGGUGUAGCGGUGAAAUGCUUAGAUAUCGCGCAGAACCCCGAUUGCGAAGGCAGCGUACCGGCUCCACACUGACGCUGAGGCACGAAAGCGUGGGUAUCGAACAGGAUUAGAUACCCCUGUAGUC